rnacentral:rRNA from 1 species
GAUGAACGCUGGCGGCGUGCCUAACACAUGCAAGUCGAGCGAUUUACUUCGGUAAAGAGCGGCGGACGGGUGAGUAACGCGUGGGUAACCUGCCCUGUACACACGGAUAACAUACUGAAAGGUAUGCUAAUACGGGAUAACAUAAGAGAGUCGCAUGGCUUUCUUAUCAAAGCUUUUGCGGUACAGGAUGGACCCGCGUCUGAUUAGCUAGUUGGUAAGGUAACGGCUUACCAAGGCGACGAUCAGUAGCCGACCUGAGAGGGUGAUCGGCCACAUUGGAACUGAUACACGUUCCAAACUCCUACGGGAGGCAGCAGUGGGGAAUAUUGCACAAUGGGCGAAAGCCUGAUGCAGCAACGCCGCGUGAGCGAUGAAGGCCUUCGGGUCGUAAAGCUCUGUCCUCAAGGAAGAUAAUGACGGUACUUGAGGAGGAAGCCCCGGCUAACUACGUGCCAGCAGCCGCCGUAA